rnacentral:rRNA from 1 species
GUACACGCUGUGACUAGCAUAUCAAUAAGCGGAGGAAAAGAAACUAACAAGGAUUCCCCUAGUAACGGCGAGUGAAGCGGGAAGAGCUCAAAUUUGAAAUCUUAAAGGGUUUCCCUUUACGAAUUGUAGUUUAAAGAAGUGUUUUCUGUUGAGGUUUUGGUAAAAGUUCUUUGGAAUAGGACAUCACAGAGGGUGAGAAUCGCGUAUUUGACCUUUACUUUCAACUUUGUGAUACACUUUCAAAGAGUCGGAUUGUUUGGGAAUGCAGUCCAAAAUGGGUGGUAAAUUUCAUCUAAAGCUAAACAUUGGCGAGAGACCGAUAGCGAACAAGUACCGUGAGGGAAAGAUGAAAAGAACUUUGAAAAGAGAGUUAAACAGUACGUGAAAUUGUCAAAAGGGAAGCGUUUGACACCAGUGUUGUUUUUCUGAAAAUCAAUUAAAGAACUGUUUAUGCUAAGCUGUUUAGACUUUAUCAGCUAUCUGUUUAGUUUUGAGCUUUUCUUUAAUGCACUUUUCAGUUAACAAGUCAACAUCAAUUUCUUUUGCUGUAAAAAAGCUUGAGGAAGGUGGCUUGAGAUUCGUCUUAAGUGUUUAUAGCCUCUUGCCUAUGCAGUCGGAGAGAUUGAGGUCUGCAGCGUAGAUCCUUCGGGGCUAAAUGCAUUUGUGCUAAGUUAUAGCAUUUUAUAGACAACUUGUUGACUAUGAUUUGUCUUGUAGCUUACUCGCUUAUGUUAUUUUACCUACGCUUAGGAUGUUGACACACGCGCGUGCUCGAUGAUAGUCUAUACAUGACUCUGUGCAUAUCAAUAAGCGGAGGAAAAGGCUACCUACGCUUAGGAUGUUGACGCGCGUGUGUGCGUG